GACGGAUGGGGCUAGCGUUGUUCGGAAUUACUGGGCGUAAAGGGCGCGUAGGCGGCCAAUUAAGUUAGACGUGAAAGCCCUGGGCUUAACCUAGGAACUGCGUUUAAUACUGGUUGGCUAGAGUAUGGUAGAGGAAAGCGGAAUUCCUAGUGUAGAGGUGAAAUUCGUAGAUAUUAGGAAGAACACCAGAGGCGAAGGCGGCUUUCUGGGCCAUUACUGACGCUGAGGCGCGAAAGCGUGGGGAGCAAACAGG
rnacentral:rRNA from 1 species